GACGAACCGUACGAACGUUAUCCGGAUUCACUGGGUUUAAAGGGUGCGUAGGUGGGCAGGUAAGUCAGUGGUGAAAUCUCCGGGCUUAACCUGGAAACUGCCAUUGAUACUAUAGCUCUUGAAUUUUCUGGAGGUAAGCGGAAUAUGUCAUGUAGCGGUGAAAUGCUUAGAUAUGACAUAGAACACCAAUUGCGAAGGCAGCUUGCUACAGGAACAUUGACACUGAGGCACGAAAGCGUGGGGAUCAAACAGG
rnacentral:rRNA from 1 species